GAUGAACGCUGGCGGCGUGCCUCAAACAUGCAAGUCGAGCGGGGCUAUGUAAUAUCGCAAGGUAGAACAUAGCCUAGCGGCGAACGGGUGAGUAACACGUGGGUAACCUGCCUGGAAGACAGGGAUAACGAUUCGAAAGGGUCGCUAAUACCUGAUAAUAUCCUUUCAUCGCAUGGUGAUAGGAAGAAAGGGGAAACCCGCUUUCAGAUGGGCCCGCGUCCCAUCAGCUAGUUGGUAAGGUAAAGGCGUUACCAAGGCGACGACGGGUAGCCGGUCUGAGAGGAUGUACGGCCACACUGGGACUGAGAUACGGCCCAGACUCCUACGGGAGGCAGCAGUUGGGAAUCUUAGGCAAUGGACGAAAGUCUGACCUAGCGACGCCGCGUGAGGGAAGAAGGCCUUGGGUCUAAACGUCUGUCAGUGGGGGAAGAAGGGAAGUGGAACGGUACCCCGAAGAGGAAGACCCCUGGCUAACGUUAACGCGCCAGCAGCCGACGGUAAAAGUACUCUAU
rnacentral:rRNA from 1 species